rnacentral:rRNA from 1 species
AUGUCGAGGACAUUUCAGUUGCUGCUAGUUCUUGCACUAGUAGGAAUAGUUAGAGUGGGUGGUUCCCGCGCUCAUAAGAACGUCACCCACGGCCCGCACAGCUGCGGCGGCGUGGAUGUCCCCUACCCGUUCGGCAUCGUGGAGGAUGGCGGCGGUGGCGACUUCCGCACUGGGUUCCAUGUCAUGUGUGACGCCGGUGAGCCGGUACUGCACACCACCGGCGGUGACGGAAAGCCCAUUAAGAUCGGCAACUUCUCCAUCAGGAUGGCGGAGGUCCGCGUGUGGCUGCCCGUAGCGUGGCAGUGCUACGACUCCUCCGGCAACGUGAGUGGGUCAGACUACAAUCCCCUAGAGUUCAACGACGAGGGCGUGUACCGCAUCUCCCACGCCAGGAACAACCUCUUUGUUCUGGGCUGCGAAACCACGGGCUACCUCGGGAGCCAGCCGGACCAGGGCUCCGGCGAAAGCAGGUCUUACGCCCAGUUCACCGGCUGCCUCAGCUACUGCAACAACUCCCAGAGCGCGGCGAGCGGUGCCUGCUCCGGGGUAGGCUGCUGCCACGUAGAAAUUCCGCCGGACCUCCUUGGCAACUGGGUGGCCUUCGUUAUCUACGACCACAGGAAUAAGGUCAACUUCAGCCCCUGCGAUUACGCGUUUGUGGCGGAGAAGAAGCAUUACAGCUUCAACACCACCGACCUCAAGAGGGCACUGCGCGGGACCACCUGGGAGAUGCCGGUGGUCCUCGACUGGGCCAUCCGCGACAGCCCCACCUGCAAGUUGGCCAGGAAGAAGAAGGAAGGGUACGCCUGCAAAAGCUCCAACAGCCGCUGCCUCGAUUCUACCAACGGACCUGGGUACAUCUGCAACUGCCGACGGGGCUACGAGGGCAACCCCUAUAAUGAGCGUGGCUGUACCGAUAUAAAUGAGUGUGAGCAUCUUGACCACUAUCCUUGCAAGGGAGACUGCGAGAACAAAGAAGGUUCUUACGAAUGCACAUGCCCCAAGCACACAAAUAGUGCUAAUCCCUUCAAAGAACGUUGCAGCCAAAAUUUACCACUCGGAGCAAAGAUCAUCGUAGGUUCCAUAGGGGGUCUUUUCAUCAUAGCUAUUAUGGUGUUCUUGUGGCUUCUUCACAAAGAGAAAAGAAGGAUGAGAGACAAUUUUGAAAAGAAUGGGGGACCUAUAUUGGAAAAGAUCAAUAAUAUAAAGCUAUUCAAUAAGGAAGAUAUAAGGAAAAUUCUGAAAAAUAAGAAACUUCUCGGAAAUGGUCACUUUGGUACGGUUUCCAUGGGGCACACUGAGGAUAAACAAGUGGUCGCUGUGAAAGAACCCAUCAAUCGCAAAUCACCAAAUGACCAAUUUGUAAAUGAGAUCAUCAUUCAGUCUAGAGUCAUUCACAAAAACAUUGUCAAGCUCAUAGGUUGUUGCCUACAAUUUAAAGUCCCAACUUUGAUCUAUGAGUUUGUGCCCAAUGGCAGCCUCGACGAUAUUCUUCAUGGCAAGAACCAUAUGCCUCUAAAGUUGGGUCUACGUCUACAAAUUGCUGCAGAAUCAGCAGAAGGUCUAGCUUAUAUGCAUUCAAAAACAACUACAACAAUCCUCCAUGGUGAUGUUAAACCAGCUAAUAUACUUUUGAAUGAAAAGUUUAUGCCGAAGAUCUCAGACUUUGGCAUAUCAAGGUUAAUGGUCACUGGUAUGCAAAUGCAACACACUGGAUGUAUCAUUUUUGACAAGGCUUAUGUUGAUCCAGUAUAUAGGAAAACUCAACAAUUGACCACCAAGAGUGAUAUCUAUAGUUUUGGAGUUGUGCUCUUGGAGCUCAUUACAAGAAAGAAAGCCUCUCAUUCUGACAACAACUUACUCGGGAACUUUCUUGAUACCUACACAAAGGACAAGUCUGUGACCGAGCUCCUGGAUAAGGAACUUGGAGAGGAUGAUCAAGAAAUUUUUGGUCAUUUAAUAGGGAUGAUUAUGCAAUGUAUAAAUCUUGACGUCAAUCAGAGACCAGAGAUGACCGAUGUCGCUGAGCGUCUUCAUGAUAUGGUGAAGAGGUUAAAUAAUAAAUAG